CAGCCGCCGCGGGAUACAGAGGGUGCGAGCGUUAAUCGGAUUUACUGGGCGUAAAGCGUGCGUAGGCGGCUAAUUGAGUCGGAUGUGAAAUCCCCGAGCUUAACUUGGGAAUUGCAUUCGAUACUGGUUAGCUAGAGUGUGGGAGAGGAUGGUAGAAUUCCAGGUGUAGCGGUGAAAUGCGUAGAGAUCUGGAGGAAUACCGAUGGCGAAGGCAGCCAUCUGGCCUAACACUGACGCUGAGGUACGAAAGCAUGGGGAGCAAACAGGAUUAGAUACCCCAGUAGUCCCUGUCUCUUAUACA
rnacentral:rRNA from 1 species